CAGUGCCCCAGUGUCUCCUCCAGGAGUGACCACGUCCCCUGGGCUGCAUCCAUCAUCAGCUCCACUCCCCAGCACCCCCCAGCCCUCCAACUGCAGCAGAGUGAAUGUGACAACCUGUGCCCAGUGCCCCCCAGGGACAGUCCCCACCCAAGGUAAGGGUCCCUGCUGCCAGCUCCUGCCUUAGAGGGAAAAGGGAUCAGGGGAUAGCCAGCACUUGUUCUUGUGUUGGAAGCUUGGACAGGCAGCAGGAGAGGGACUGAACUCAUUUCACGCUUCUGAAAUCAAAGACUUGGCUUUUCCUGGCCUUGUCCUGUGUUUUGGUCAUCCUGAGGCUUUCCCAGUGGGGUGACAAAGUAGUUGGAUUGUGGCACAAAGUGUAACACAAAUAGAGUUUAAUUUAUUGGCAGAACACCAUUUUGGGGCCCAGGGCCAAAUACAAGGUGAAUUUCCAGUUGAGGAUAGGAUAGGAUAGGAUAGGAUAGGAUAGGAUAGGAUAGGAUAGGAUAGGAUAGGAUAGGAUAGGAUAGGAUAGGAUAGGAUAGGAUAGGAUAGGAUAGGAUAGGAUAGGAUAGGAUAGGAUAGGAUAGGAUAGGAUAGGAUAGGAUAGGAUCUCUGCUAUAGAGACAGCCUUUUUCCAUGGCCUUGAGAAAAUACUUAAUCAACCUCUGUUGUGGUCAGCAGUGCAGAAUUUAACCUUUCCCAGAAGUUUUUUGUUGUAAUGUGGUUGGGUUUUUAUUUCAAACACCACCACCCCAUCCCACAAAAAAAAAAAAGAAAAUAAUUCUCCAAAGUACAAGCCAUGUACUUUUUGCUUAUUCCCUGCACUGUAGGGCACUUUUUAAAAGCAGCUCUGAUGCAUUAGGGUGAAUCUGCAGAGGACAGGAGUUACCUACCAUCUCCUUUUUAUGCAGGAUCUUCUUUGACAGGGCCUUCUCCUCUUGCCUGUUUUGGUGGUGCAGCUGCAGUAAAUCCCACCCAACUCCUCUGCUGGGAGUUGCUGGGAUUGUUUUUGUGCAGCAGAGAGGGGCAGAACUUUCCUGCUGGGAAUGCCAUGGUACCUGUGCUCAAAGCAAAGCUCUUGCUGCUUAAGGCAGAUCCACGACUCUGGGGCUUUACUCAUCAUUUAGUUCUGCUUCUUACAAUCUUAAAUUAUCAGUAAUAUAAAGAAGUAUAUUGCUUGGGGUUUUUUUUUGUUGUUUUGUUUUUGUUUUGUUUGUUUGUUUGUUUUUGUUGUUGUUGUUUUGGGUUUUUGUUGGGUUUUUUUCUGUUUUGUUUUUGUGUUUGAGGGAAAACAAGGAAAAUUUUCCUGGCCUCUCAAGUUAAAGAAGGAAUCAGCAGUCAGAACUAAGGCACCCUGAGCUGCUCGUGCUGCGUGGGGGGCUCGUGCAGUGACCCCAGUGCCUGCAGCCCCUGCUCACCAGGCCACCACCAGCCCCAAAGUGGGCAACCAUCCUGCCUGCCCUGCCCACAGGGCUAUUACACCAGCUUCCCAAGGAGCACCGUGUGUCUUCCCUGCCCACCAGGACAUUUUGCUAAUGAGUCUGGAGCUGCAGUCUGCAGAGCCUGUGAGCGAGGUUAUUUUAGCUCCAAGCAAAAUGCAGCUUUUUGUCUGCCUUGCCAGCCAGGAUCAUUUUGCAACACCAGCAGCUGCUCGACCUGUGUGUCCUGUCCUGGGGGGCAGGAGGCUCCUCGGGAGGCGUCGGAGGGGUGCGAGUCCUGCCCGCCAGGUA